UACGUAGGGUGCAAGCGUUAAUCGGAAUUACUGGGCGUAAAGCGUGCGCAGGCGGUUGUGCAAGACAGAUGUGAAAUCCCCGGGCUUAACCUGGGAAUUGCAUUUGUGACUGCACGGCUAGAGUGUGCCAGAGGGGGGGUAGAAUUCCACGUGUAGCAGUGAAAUGCGUAGAUAUGUGGAGGAAUACCGAUGGCGAAGGCAGCCCCCCUGGGAUAACACUGACGCUCAUGCACGAAAGCGUGGGGAGCAAACAGG
rnacentral:rRNA from 1 species